rnacentral:rRNA from 1 species
AGUGAACGCUGGCGGUAGGCCUAACACAUGCAAGUCGGACGGCAGCACAGUAAGAGCUUGCUCUUACGGGUGGCGAGUGGCGGACGGGUGAGGAAUACAUCGGAAUCUACUUUUUCGUGGGGGAUAACGUAGGGAAACUUACGCUAAUACCGCAUACGACCUACGGGUGAAAGCAGGGGAUCUUCGGACCUUGCGCGAUUGAAUGAGCCGAUGUCGGAUUAGCUAGUUGGCGGGGUAAAGGCCCACCAAGGCGACGAUCCGUGGCUGGUCUGAGAGGAUGAUCGGCCACACUGGAACUGAGACACGGUCCAGACUCCUACGGGAGGCAGCAGUGGGGAAUAUUGGACAAUGGGCGCAAGCCUGAUCCAGCCAUACCGCGUGGGUGAAGAAGGCCUUCGGGUUGUAAAGCCCUUUUGUUGGGAAAGAAAAGCAGCAGGUUAAUACCCCGCUGUUCUGACGGUACCCAAAGAAUAAGCACCGGCUAACUUCGUG